AUUUGAAUCUUCUCGAAUCGAGACUGACACGUUAAUGUUUAAAGAUAUUUGUAAAGACUCCUAGUAGAUCUUGACUCUAGAGUUCAGGAAAAUAAAACACACAUGAAUGAAGAGAUGUGAUGCUUUACUUAGUGAAUAAUGGAUGCAAAUGUGAAGCAACAGUUUUUGUUCCCUUUUUAUGGGUAGUUAAUGUUUCUUGC
rnacentral:lncRNA from 1 species